rnacentral:rRNA from 1 species
CUACGGGAGGCAGCAGUGGGGAAUUUUGCACAAUGGGGGAAACCCUGAUGCAGCAACGCCGCGUGGAGGAUGAAGUCCCUUGGGAUGUAAACUCCUUUCGACCGGGACGAUUAUGACGGUACCGGUGGAAGAAGCCCCGGCUAACUCUGUGCCAGCAGCCGCGGUAAUACAGAGGGGGCAAGCGUUGUUCGGAAUUAUUGGGCGUAAAGGGUGCGUAGGCGGUGCGGUAAGUCUUCUGUGAAGUCUCCGGGCUCAACUCGGAGCCUGCAGGAGAAACUGCCGUGCUUGAGUAUGGGAGAGGUGAGUGGAAUUCCUCGUGUAGCGGUGAAAUGCGUAGAUAUCAGGAGGAACACCUGUGGCGAAAGCGGCUCACUGGACCAUAACUGACGCUGAGGCACGAAAGCUAGGGGAGCAAACAGGAUUAGAUACCCUAGUAGUCC